UACAGAGGUCUCAAGCGUUGUUCGGAUUCAUUGGGCGUAAAGGGCGCGUAGGCUGCGGGGUAAGUCGGGUGUGAAAUCUCAGGGCUCAACUCUGAAAUGGCACUUGAUACUGCUCUGCUAGAGGACUGGAGAGGAGAUUGGAAUUCACGGUGUAGCAGUGAAAUGCGUAGAUAUCGUGAGGAAGACCAGUGGCGAAGGCGGAUCUCUGGACAGUUCCUGACGCUGAGGCGCGAAGGCCAGGGGAGCAAACGGG
rnacentral:rRNA from 1 species